rnacentral:rRNA from 1 species
AGAGUUUGAUCAUGGCUCAGAUUGAACGCUGGCGGCAGGCUUAACACAUGCAAGUCGAGCGGAAACGAUGAUAGCUUGCUAUCAGGCGUCGAGCGGCGGACGGGUGAGUAAUACUUAGGAAUCUACCUAGUAGUGGGGGAUAGCACGGGGAAACUCGUAUUAAUACCGCAUACGACCUACGGGAGAAAGGGGGCAGUUUACUGCUCUCGCUAUUAGAUGAGCCUAAGUCGGAUUAGCUAGAUGGUGGGGUAAAGGCCUACCAUGGCGACGAUCUGUAGCUGGUCUGAGAGGAUGAUCAGCCACACCGGGACUGAGACACGGCCCGGACUCCUACGGGAGGCAGCAGUGGGGAAUAUUGGACAAUGGGGGAAACCCUGAUCCAGCCAUGCCGCGUGUGUGAAGAAGGCCUUUUGGUUGUAAAGCACUUUAAGCAGUGAAGAAGACUCCUCGGUUAAUACCCGUGGACGAUGACAUUAGCUGCAGAAUAAGCACCGGCUAACUCUGUGCCAGCAGCCGCGGUAAUACAGAGGGUGCAAGCGUUAAUCGGAAUUACUGGGCGUAAAGGGAGCGUAGGUGGCUCGAUAAGUCAGAUGUGAAAUCCCCGGGCUCAACCUGGGAACUGCAUCUGAUACUGUUGAGCUAGAGUAUGUGAGAGGAAGGUAGAAUUCCAGGUGUAGCGGUGAAAUGCGUAGAGAUCUGGAGGAAUACCGAUGGCGAAGGCAGCCUUCUGGCAUAAUACUGACACUGAGGCUCGAAAGCGUGGGUAGCAAACAGGAUUAGAUACCCUGGUAGUCCACGCCGUAAACGAUGUCUACUAGUCGUUGGGUCCCUUGAGGACUUAGUGACGCAGCUAACGCAAUAAGUAGACCGCCUGGGGAGUACGGCCGCAAGGUUAAAACUCAAAUGAAUUGACGGGGGCCCGCACAAGCGGUGGAGCAUGUGGUUUAAUUCGAUGCAACGCGAAGAACCUUACCUGGUCUUGACAUAUCUAGAAUCCUGCAGAGAUGCGGGAGUGCCUUCGGGAAUUAGAAUACAGGUGCUGCAUGGCUGUCGUCAGCUCGUGUCGUGAGAUGGUUGGGUUAACGUCCGCACGAGCGCAACCCUUGUCCUUAGUUACCAGCGGGUUAAGCCGGGAACUCGUAAGGAUACUGCCAGUGACAAACUGGAGGGAGGCGGGGACGACGUCAAGUCAUCAUGGCCCUUACGACCAGGGCUACACACGUGCUACAAUGGUAGGUACAGAGGGCAGCUACACAGCGAUGUGAUGCGAAUCUCAAAAAGCCUAUCGUAGUCCAGAUUGGAGUCUGCAACUCGACUCCAUGAAGUAGGAAUCGCUAGUAAUCGCGGAUCAGAAUGCCGCGGUGAAUACGUUCCCGGGCCUUGUACACACCGCCCGUCACACCAUGGGAGUUGAUUGCACCAGAAGUGGAUAGCUUAACCUUCGGGGAGGCGUUCACCACGGUGUGGUUGAUGACUGGGGUGAAGUCGUAACAAGGUAGCCGUAGGGGAACCUGCGGCUG